rnacentral:lncRNA from 1 species
CUCCCUCCCUACCCCCACCACGUGCACAGAAGAAAGACCACGUUGAAGACACAGCUGGAAGGUGCCGUCUGCAAAUUAAAGACAGAGCCCUCACCAGAAGCCAAACCCGUCGGCACCUUGUUCUUGGACCUCCAGCCUCCAGAACUAUGAGAAGACUGGAGCUCAGAGACACUCAGAGAGUCGGCAGAGGUCACACAGUAAGAAGAGAACACCAAGUCAAUCCCAGAUUUUGAGAGCACUCUUUCCAGGACAACCCAGCAGCUCACACCUUAAACCAGCUCUGUCCUGGACAGGAUUGGUGCUCCACUCAGAUCCACUCAGAUCCCUUUAUGCCAGGUCUGAGUGUCCCACCAUCUACCCCAGCCUGCCUGUCCAUCCACCACCACCUGACGGUCUCUGUGACUCUUCUUUGGAGCACUGCCCUUUUUUGGGGGGUUUUGCUUUUCUUUGAUGCUGCAGGCUCUCUGCUGGCCCUUCUGGAGGACCAGGAGCACCUGAGCAUUUCUCCCAGGCAGCCCUUCACUGGUGACUGUCGGGAGGACAUGUAGGAAAGCCCAGCCCCUUUCCUAGGCGGGGACAACUCGGGGAUGUGACUCACACUCCAGGGCUCCCGGAGGGAUCGGGCUGAGGCCACCUUCCACAGGAGUUUGCUGAAAUUGUGCUUCGUUUGGCUUCCUCCCCUUCCAUGUCCUGCCUCCCUCACCCACUUCCUCAUCCCCCCUGGGACACACAAGUCCUGUCUCAGGGUCUUCAUCUGGGAAACCCAACCCAAGACCGAGUCCCCUUGAAGAUGCGUGCCCUGCCACAAGGCUGGUCUUCUGCCCCGGGUCCUGGCACAGCGGGAGCCAGGCAGCACCCAGAGCGUGAAUGGAGAAUCACGCCUGGGGGACAUCCCAAAGGCAGCAGCUGCGUGGCUUUGGGAACAGCUGGGAGUGGGAGCAGGGAUGGACACUCUACGGCAACAGGGAUGAGGAGAAGAGAAUGAGGCUCUUUGGCCUUCUGUGACCUUCAUUAUUUUAUUGUUACACCGUUUAUAUCUGUUCAAAGUGGUACAAAAAUGCACCAAAAUGGCUCAAUGCAGAUUUUUUUAAAAAAAGAUCACCCACAGAUAAAAUUUUCACUGAGCAAGGUCUGACUGCCCAAUGCACAGAGAAGCUAAUACUACGGCACCAGCUUUUGAGAAAAGAAAUAAGCUUUAUUACAGGGUUGACCAGCAAGGACACAGGAGGAGGGGCUCUCAAAUUCUAUCUCCCCGAUCCAAGGUUUGGGGCAAAGUUUAAGGAGUUAGGGGUCACUGAGCCACAGCUGGGCCCACAUAAGCUGAUUGGCUGGUCUCGAAUCUGUCCGUAGAUGGCAAUCAAGCUGCUUGAGCUGCUGGAAGCCAGAUUUUCCUUACGGAAGGACUUCUAGCUUCUUCAAGGGCUCCAGUGGCAACAUUUCUGAAGAUUCUUGGUUCUGGGGUCACCCUGGAGCUACGGGAUCCCGCCUGGCACAUGUGCAGUGCCGUCUCUGUGAUCAAGCAAGGUUUGAUUCAUCAAUGACCUGUUUUAAGGAAGCAAAACUAGUUUAAGCUGGUCAAGGUUUUAUGCGCUGUUUCAACAGCAAGCAGUCAACCCAUUGCCAGCCAGAUGAUGUACACGUGUUGAAACAAAAACAGGCCCAUCCCAUACAGAGAGUAAGUGGUGUGUGGAAGAGGCAUUGGGAGUGUGGGCUCUAGAGCCAGGCUGCCAGGAUGUGGGUCUUGACUCCACACUUACUAGCUGUGUGACCUGGGGCAGAUAACUUCAUCCCUCUGUGCCUCAGUUUCCUCAUCUGCAAAGUGGAGAUGUUAAUAAUGUCUCCCUUGGAGGGUGGUCUCGACGGUUAAAUGAGUUCCUGCCUACAAAGCACUUACAGCGGACCCUGGCAUAUACAAAGUUUGGUGAUAAUGUUUGCUGUCAUCAUCAUCGGAGCUGUUGUAACCAGAGGUCUUAACCCGGCAGCUUCUGGCACGAUCCAGCCUGCAGAUGUGUUUUGUUUAGUUCAAAUAACGUUUUCCAAAUCUAUUCUGUUGCCAAAAUUUCAGAUUCGGGAGACUUGCCCUUAAAAGGCAGAUUUCUGGCUACUUGAAAAGCAGGACGAUUGGGCAACACUUGGCUCACAUAGCCAUGGAGUAAAAUCAGCCAGAGGUGGGUUGUGGCUGCCCCCCAGCAGGGAGGCAGGGGCGCCCCACUGGCCGCUGCCCCGAUGUGGGUCGCUUCCCUGAGCUACAUGCUGAGUCCCACGGGUACUCAUGGCUGUGAGCUCUGUGCUUCUCAACACACAGUGAACGCGUCCUGGGAGCAACAUUGAUGCAGAUUUGAUGAGUCCUUGAUGCUCUGGCUCGUGGCUCCACCAUCACUUAUUUCACAGAAUUCUCAGCAUUGAACACAGGGGCCAUUUCAAGGUU